AUCGAAGCACGAAUUCCUAUACCUCUGAAAUGCAGUAGGAUGGAAUGAGACUACGUGAAGAAGAAGAGCACCAAGGUCCAGCACGACCGGGCGAAAUUGGCCCUUUUUAGUCUUUGCUUCAUUCCCAUUACACGACAAUGACCAAAGAGGGGCAGCUGUAAUAGGCCCAAUUUGCCCGGGCCCAAAAACACAAACAAAAAAAUAAAUCAAAUAUAAAAACAAAUAAAAUUAAAAUGCCAUUACUAAACAGUCCAGUUUUUUUACAGACCAAGUUAAAUUAAGCUCAAACCCGAUUACAAAAUCCAAAUACCCAAUGAACCCCAACACCAGCCCUAUGCCCAGCCCAAAUCAAGGCCGAAACCCUAGCAGUCUCUAAAACAGAAGCAGACUCCAGCGCCGUAACCAAGCCCUCCAC
rnacentral:lncRNA from 1 species